AAUACAAUGUUAAUACAUGUCUUUACAUUGGUGUGUUUUGUGUUCUGCUACAUAGACCUGGGAGUGUUAUAGCAGACUACACUAUAAGUGCAACAUCCAACAGCCUUGAUUUUGGAGCAGCAAACACACAGGUUUCUGACUCUCUGAGAACACAAGGAAUAAUUUUAGCUGAAGAUGCCUUUGCUCAAAGUGAUCAAACCGUCUUCACAACAGAUCAGUUAUAUCCUCUGCAAAAGGUGGACCUAAACUGUAUACAGCCAGACUUUGCAAAGGGACAAAUAAAAUGGACAGUGGAUAACAAAGAUCCUGCACUAGACAACACAAGAUAUUUACUUUCAAAUGACAACAGAACUCUCACUGUAAAAAACGCUAAUGAAAGUGACAGUGGUGAGUGACGAGAUUUAUUUUUGUAUUGUCUAUGAUAUUUUACUAGUGCCUGAUAGCUCCUGUCCUGUUUUUCAAAGCAGACUGCAGUAAAACUGUUCCAUAAUAUCAUUUAAAUGAUUGAGCAUAUUAGCAUACUGACAUAUAGCAUAUGAUUGUACUAGAUUAUAUCAUAUACGGUAUAGAGUAGAUGAUACAGCCAUAUCAACAUUAAAGGUGCAAUGUGUAAUAUUUAGGAUAAUUUUUUUUAUUACCUUAGAAUGAGCCAUUUCUAUCUACAUAUCGGUUUACUGAAAAACUAAGUAAAUAUAAUUUCUUAAUUUACCACUGGCUAUCUCUGCUGUCUCAGACGACGACAUCUUUGUCCUGUGUCGGCCACCGUAUCUCUACGUGCAAUUCGCAACCUAGCCGCUAGAUGCUGCUAAAAUUUAGGCCAUAUCCACACGUACACGGGUAUUUCUAUAAAUGGAGUUUUUGCUUCUUCCGUUU
rnacentral:lncRNA from 1 species